ensembl:snoRNA SNORA74 Small nucleolar RNA SNORA74
CCCAGCUGUAGGCAAUGGCCUAGGCUGCCUUAUACCUAGGCAAAUGUUAUACAGCUAGGAGAAAAGCAACCAAUAGCUCGUUGGCAUCCUAGGCUGGUUAAUGCCAAAUUUGUGUUAACCUAUA